rnacentral:piRNA from 1 species
UUGAAGAAUCGACUGGGACUCGUCCU